AUUAAACGCUGGCGGCAUGCCUUACACAUGCAAGUCGAACGGCAGCACGGGGGCAACCCUGGUGGCGAGUGGCGAACGGGUGAGUAAAGCAUCGGAACGUGCCCUGGAGUGGGGGAUAACGUAGCGAAAGUUACGCUAAUACCGCAUAUUCUGUGAGCAGGAAAGCAGGGGAUCGCAAGACCUUGCGCUCUGGGAGCGGCCGAUGUCGGAUUAGCUAGUUGGUGGGGUAAAGGCCUACCAAGGCGACGAUCCGUAGCGGGUCUGAGAGGAUGAUCCGCCACACUGGGACUGAGACACGGCCCAGACUCCUACGGGAGGCAGCAGUGGGGAAUUUUUGGACAAUGGGCGAAAGCCUGAUCCAGCCAUGCCGCGUGAGUGAAGAAGGCCUU
rnacentral:rRNA from 1 species